rnacentral:rRNA from 1 species
AACGAACGCUGGCAGCGUGGAUUAGGCAUGCAAGUCGAACGAGAUGCUGUUCCAUCAAUCUUCGGAGAGAUGGAGCAGUUGAGAGUGGCGGAAGGGCGAGUAACGCGUGGGCAAGCUGCCCUCAAGUCUGGGACAACUCCGGGAAACCGGGGCUAAUACCGGAUGUGUUCUCCCAGGGCAUCCUGGGAAGAAUAAAGGUGGGGAUCCUUCGGGACCUGCCGCUUGGGGAGGCGCCCGCGUGCCAUCAGCUAGUUGGUGAGGUAAUGGCUCACCAAGGCAUUACGGGUAGCUGGUCUGAGAGGAUGGUCAGCCACACUGGGACUGAGACACUGCCCAGACUCCUACGGGAGGCUGCAGUCGAGGAUCAUUCGCAAUGAGCGAAAGCUUGACGAUGCGACGCUGCGUGGAGGAUGAAGGCCCUCGGGUCGUAAACUCCUGUCAUAAGGGGAAAAAGCGAAGUGCGAUAACAUCAAACUGAGUAGAUGGUACCUUAAGAGGAAGCCACGGCUAACUCUGUGCCAGCAGCCGCGGUAAUACAGAGGUGGCGAGCGUUGUUCGGAUUUACUGGGCGUAAAGGGCGCGUAGGCGGUAUAGUAUGUCGGGUGUGAAAUCUCCAGGCUCAACCUGGAAAGUGCGCUCGAAACUGCUAAACUAGAGUACGGGAGGGGAGAUCGGAAUACAAGGUGUAGCGGUGAAAUGCGUUGAUAUCUUGUAGAACACCGGUGGCGAAGGCGGAUCUCUGGAACGUAACUGACGCUGAGGCGCGAAAGUCGGGGGAGCGAACAGGAUUAGAUACCCUGGUAGUCCCGACCGUAAACGGUGUACACUUGGGGUUGGGGGAUUUCACCCCUCCAGUCCCGGAGCUAACGCGUUAAGUGUACCGCCUGGGGAGUACGGCCGCAAGGUUAAAACUCAAAGAAAUUGACGGGGGCCCGCACAAGCAGAGGAGCAUGUGGCUUAAUUCGAUGCAACGCGAAGAACCUUACCCAGGUUUGACAUAUAACUGCAAAUCCCUGGAAACAGGGACUCCUUCGAGGGUGUUAUACAGGUGCUGCAUGGCUGUCGUCAGUUCGUGCCGUGAGGUGUUUGGUUAAGUCCAGCAACGAACGCAACCCCUGCGUCUAGUUGCCAUCAGGUAAUGCUGGGAACUCUAGACGGACUGCCUGUGUAAUCAGGAGGAAGGUGGGGACGACGUCAAGUCAGUAUGGCCCUUACGCCUGGGGCUGCACACGUGCUACAAUGCCCGGUACAGAGGGAAGCAAUACCGCGAGGUGGAGCAAAUCCCUAAAGCCGGCCCCAGUUCGGAUUGGAGUCUGAAACUCGACUCCAUGAAGUUGGAUUCGCUAGUAACGGCGUAUCAGCUACGACGCCGUGAAUACGUUCCCGGGCCUUGUACACACCGCCCGUCACAUCAUGAAAGCCGUCUGCACCCGAAGUCGUUGACCUAACCCGCAAGGGAUGGAGGCGCCGAAGGUGUGGGUGGUGAUUGGGAUG